UACGAGGGGUGCGAGCGUUGCUCGGAAUUAUUGGGCGUAAAGGGUAGGUAGGUGGUCUCGUUUGUCUGGGGUGAAAGCCUUGAGCUUAACUCAAGAAGUGCCUUAGAAACGGCGAGACUGGAGUCUUGGAGAGGGUCGUGGAAUUCCCGGUGUAGCGGUGAAAUGCGUAGAGAUCGGGAGGAACACCAGCGGCGAAGGCGGCGACCUGGACAAGUACUGACACUCAACUACGAAAGCGUGGGGAGCAAACAGG
rnacentral:rRNA from 1 species